ACGGAAGGCAGCAGUGGGGAAUAUUGCACAAUGGGGGAAACCCUGAUGCAGCGACGCCGCGUGAGUGAAGAAGUUAUUCGUAAUGUAAAGCUCUAUCAGCAGGGAAGAAAAUGACGGUACCUGACUAAGAAGCCCCGGCUAACUACGUGCCAGCAGCCGCGGUAAUACGUAGGGGGCAAGCGUUAUCCGGAUUUACUGGGUGUAAAGGGAGCGUAGACGGUCUGGCAAGUCUGAUGUGAAAGGCAGGGGCUCAACUCCUGGACUGCAUUGGAAACUGUCAGUCUUGAGUGUCGGAGAGGUAAGCGGAAUUCCUAGUGUAGCGGUGAAAUGCGUAGAUAUUAGGAGGAACACCAGUGGCGAAGGCGGCUUGCUGGACGAUAACUGACGUUGAGGCUCGAAAGCGUGGGGAGCAAACAGGAUUAGAUACCCUGGUA
rnacentral:rRNA from 1 species